rnacentral:rRNA from 1 species
CUACGGGAGGCAGCAGUAGGGAAUCUUCCACAAUGGGCGAAAGCCUGAUGGAGCAACGCCGCGUGUGUGAUGAAGGGUCUCGGCUCGUAAAACACUGUUGUAAGAGAAGAAUGACAUUGAGAGUAACUGUUCAAUGUGUGACGGUAUCUUACCAGAAAGGAACGGCUAAAUACGUGCCAGCAGCCGCGGUAAUA